ACAAACCGCCCUACAGGAGAAUCAUUUCUAUAGUAUUCGUCUCUUGCUUUGGUUCCCAAAAGAGCCAUCGAAUCCACCCUGGUUGAUGAUUGUAUAUCCUCGAUGCCCAAGAGUGAAUUUUUAUGGUCCUCUCGCCCUGUCCGCAAGGAUGGCGGCAGUUGCCUUUGUGCUUCUGCUGUAUAGAGAGUUGUUUUUUCUCUUGAUGAUCUCGACCCUGCCGGUGGUCUGCCUUCGGGCGCGCUGGUAGGGUGGGUGUCGAUGGACGUCUGACAGGC
rfam:Trichoderma virens Gv29-8 TRIVIscaffold_91, whole genome shotgun sequence.